AGGCCUAUGGUGUAAUGGUAACACUACUGUUUUUGGUGCAGUCAUUCGGGGUUCAAGUCCCUGUGGGCCUACCA
rnacentral:tRNA from 1 species